rnacentral:misc_RNA from 1 species
GAUGAAGAACGCAGCGAAAUGCGAUAAGUAAUGUGAAUUGCAGAAUUCAGUGAAUCAUCGAAUCUUUGAACGCACAUUGCGCCCGCCAGUAUUCUGGCGGGCAUGCCUGUCUGAGCGUCAUUUCAACCCUCAUGCCCCUAGGGCGUGGUGUUGGGGAUCGGCCAAAGCCCGCGAGGGACGGCCGGCCCCUAAAUCUAGUGGCGGACCCGUCGUGGCCUCCUCUGCGAAGUAGUGAUAUUCCGCAUCGGAGUGCGAUGAGCCCCUGCCGUUAAACCCCCAACUUUCCAAGGUUGACCUCAGAUCAGGUAGGAAUACCCGCUGAACUUAAGCAUAUCAAUAAGCGGAGGA